rnacentral:rRNA from 1 species
GCGUGGCGGCAGCUACCAUGCAGUCGAGCGGUAAAGAGGUGCUUGCUUCUCUUGAUAGCGGCGGACGGGUGAGUAAUGCCUAGGAAUCUGCCUAUUGGUGGGGGACAACGUUCGGAAACGGACGCUAAUACCGCAUACGCCCUACGGGGGAAAGCGGGGGAUCUUCGGACCUUGCGCCAUUAGAUGAGCCUAGGUCGGAUUAGCUAGUUGGUGGGGUAAUGGCCUACCAAGGCGACGAUCCGUAACUGGUCUGAGAGGAUGAUCCGCCACACUGGAACUGAGACACGGUCCAGACUCCUACGGGAGGCAGCAGUGGGGAAUAUUGGACAAUGGGCGAAAGCCUGAUCCAGCCAUGCCGCGUGUGUGAAGAAGGUCUUUUGAUUGUAAAGCACUUUAAGUUGGGAGGAAGGGUAUUAACCUAAUACUUUGCUACUUUGAAGUUUCCGACCGAAUAAGCCCCGGCUAACUUCUGGGCCGGCACCCCGGUAAUACGAAAGGGGGAAGCGUUAAUCCGAAUUACUGGGCGUAAAGCGCGGGUAAGUGGUUCGAUAAAUUGGAAGUGAAAUCCCCGGGCUCAACCUGGGAACUGGUUUCCAAACUGGUGAGCUAGAGUACGGUAGAGGGUGGUGGAAUUUCCUGUGGAACGGUGAAAUGCGUAGAUAUAGGAAGGAACACCAGUGGCGAAAGCGACCACCUGGACUGAUACUGACACUGAAGUGCGAAAGCGUGGGGAGCAAACAGGAUUAGAUACCCUGGUAGUCCACGGCGUAAACGAUGUCAACUAGCCGUUGGAAUCCUUGAGAUUUUAGUGUGCGCGCCUCACGCAUUAUAAUUGACCGCGCUGGGGGAGUACAGGCGCGCAGGUUCUAACUCACAUGUGAUAUGACACGGGGCCCGCACACAGCGCGUGUGAGCAUGUGUGUUUAAUUCUCAAGCGACCGCGCAGAACCUUACACUGGGCCUUGACAUGCUGUAGAAACUUUUCUAGAGAUAUGAUUGGUGUCCUUCUCGAACUC